rnacentral:tRNA from 2 species
GCGCCGAUAGCUCAAUUGGAUAGAGCACUUGACUACGGAUCAAGAGGUUGGGGGUUCGAGUCCCUCUCGGCGCGCCA